CUCAGGAUGAACGCUAGCUACAGGCUUAACACAUGCAAGUCGAGGGCAGCAUGUGGUUGCUGCAACCAAUGAUGGCGACCGGCGCACGGGUGAGUAACGCGUAUCCAACCUUCCCUAUAGUAGAGGAUAGCCCGGCGAAAGUCGGAUUAAUACUCUAUGUUUUCCAAUGCAGACAUCUAAGUUGGAACAAAGGUUCACCGCUAUAGGAUGGGGAUGCGUCUGAUUAGAUAGUCGGCGGGGUAACGGCCCACCGAGUCGACGAUCAGUAGGGGUUCUGAGAGGAAGGUCCCCCACAUUGGAACUGAGACACGGUCCAAACUCCUACGGGAGGCAGCAGUGAGGAAUAUUGGUCAAUGGGCGAGAGCCUGAACCAGCCAAGUAGCCGUGCAGGAUGACGGCCCUAUGGGUUGUAAACUGCUUUUAUACAGGGAUAAAGUGACGUACGUGUACGUUUUUGUAGGUACUGUAUGAAUAAGGACCGGCUAAUUCCGUGCCAGCCGCCGC
rnacentral:rRNA from 1 species